rnacentral:misc_RNA from 1 species
GUACGUGUAUCCGUAAGAAUAAAUCGUUGAAAAAAUGGUCGUUCCAAUACAAAAAUGAGUUUCAUCAACCGGUUACUCGAACAACUACUAAGGGAGAAUAAUACUCUUACGGUUCGCAGGUUCACGUGGAAGAAAGCAGAUGUAUCACGAGUGCACUCGACUCUGAGAUAAAGCUGGCUUCACAUCUGAAAUUCUAAGAUACCAAGGAAACAAUUUAAUUAACAGAACUAAUAAUAUAAUCGAAAUAAAUUACAUGGAAAAUUAAUUAGCAACUGAACAAUACUAAGAAAUAAUUUUAUUAAUUCAAGUUGACUCGAGGAAAUUUCCAGUUUCAAUUGUGAAAGAAGCUUCAGCUAUAGCAUCUAAUCACUUGAGAAACUGACCGGUUGAAACGUUAUGGACAUG